AGGUUUUACUGGGAUUGAAAGUUUUGAAAACUUUACUAGAAGUGUUCGAUUCACUUAAAAACUU
rnacentral:tRNA from 1 species